rnacentral:rRNA from 1 species
AGCGAACGCUGGCGGCAGGCCUAACACAUGCAAGUCGAACGGCAGCACAGUAAGAGCUUGCUCCUACGGGUGGCGAGUGGUGGAUGGGUGAGGAAUACACUGGAAUGUACUUCUUCGUGGGGGAUAACGCAUGGAACUUUACGCUAAUACCGCAUACCACCUACGGGUGAAUGCAGGGGAUCUUCGGACUUAGCGCGAUUGAAUGAGCUGAUGUCGGAUUAGCUAGUUGGUGGGGUAAAGGCCCACCAAGGCGACGAUCCGUAGCUGGUCUGAGAGGAUGAUCAGCCCCACUAGAGCGGAGGCACGGUCCAGACCCCUACGGGGGGCAACAGUGGGGAAUAUUGGACAAGGGGCGCAAACCUGAUACAGCCAUCCCGCGUGAGGGAAGGACGCCUUCGGGUUGUAAAGCCCUUUUGUUGGGAAAGAAAAGCAGCAGAUUGAUACCCCGCUGUUCUGACGGUACCCAAAGAAUAAGCACCGGCUAACUUCGUG